UCUUUGCUAGUAUAUCGGUUAGUACACGCGCCUGUCAUCAGUACUGCUUGCAAAAUAAACGCGCGAAAGCUGGGUUCGACUCCCAGGCAGAGAG